GAGCUUGUAGCUCAGUGGAUUAGAGCGUGUGGCUACGGACCACAAGGUCAGGGGUUCGACUCCCUUCUGGCUCA
rnacentral:tRNA from 1 species